rnacentral:hammerhead_ribozyme from 1 species
ACCCAGAUGACGAGUCCCGAAUAGAACGAAAUACCCGUCCUGGAU